rnacentral:rRNA from 1 species
UACGUAGGGGGCAAGCGUUGUCCGGAUUUAUUGGGCGUAAAGAGCGUGUAGGCGGUUAGGUAGGUCCGUUGUGAAAACUCGAGGCUCAACCUCGAGACGUCGGUGGAAACCGUUUGGCUAGAGUCCGGAAGAGGAGAGUGGAAUUCCCGGUGUAGCGGUGAAAUGCGCAGAUAUCGGGAAGAACACCCGUGGCGAAGGCGGCUCUCUGGGACGGUACUGACGCUGAGACGCGAAAGCGUGGGGAGCGAACAGG